GAAGUAAAGAAUAAGCUAACAAAUAAAAUAAAAUUUAAUAAAACAUUAAGAAAAGUGAAAGGCUUUCUCAUUUUGAUUUGAAUUUCCGAAACAUAAAAAAAAAAACACACACCUUUUAUGUUGGAAGCAAACGACACAAAAGGAACCUCAAUCCCCGCCGUAACAACCCUCUUUCUCCGACGGUUGUCCGAGCUUCCUCCGCCACGAAGCUUCACUAAGAUACCCGCAGCAGGGUGUCACAAGAUCAUUUUACUUGUGAUGCUUUCGAAGUUGCAGAAGCGUUUAAGCUAAGCUAAGCUUCUUUUGUCUGUCUGGCUUUGCUUAUUCAUUUUCCAGAUAUCUCACCAGUUUCUAUUUUUAUAUUUAUAUUCAUGUCCCUAUGAGUUUCAUCUUUCUUCUGUUUGGUCCCCACUUGUUUUUAUUUUUUUUUCUAUUUCUUCUUGUUUAUUGAUGGCCUACAACUGUUGAUUUUGUUCCUCUGAUAUUAAUUCUUACUGAAACACAGAUGUCAAAUCCAUUGAAAGAGCCUGUAGAAGAUGAUGAUGAUGCCUCGGACUCUGUUCCUCACAUGAGGGACGAUAAUGAAUCUGUUCGCCUAGUUGUUGCCGCCCAUGGAGCUGCUUCUCCACCACCUGAAACCGUAUCUCAAUCAGUCGAAACGCAGAGUAGCAACUUGUUGAUGUGGUGGUGGUGGUUUAAAGCUUUGUGUAUAUGUGCACUUACUCUCUUGCUCACAUUUGUUUCGUCAAAUGGGAUGUUCCCUUUCUAUUCCAAAAGGUUCUUAUUCCAAUUUUACAAUGGGAAGCAACUGCAUUUGGCAUUCCUACGCUCUUCAUCGUCCUCCUCCUUUCCUUAGCCUUGUUCCCAGUCUUCUUGAUCCCGUCCGGUCCAUCCAUGUGGUUAGCCGGUAUGAUUUUCGGUUACGGUCUCGGUUAUCUCAUCAUCAUGGUUGGAACCACCGUUGGCAUGCUUCUUCCUUACUUUAUCGGCCUAAUGUUUUCGUGAUCGCCUCCAUCAAUGGUUAAAAAGGUGGCCUCGUCAAGCAGCUGUUCUUAGAGUAGCUGCAGAAGGAAGCUGGUUCCAUCAGUUCAAAGUCGUGGCUAUCUUUCGAAUCUCGCCAUUUCCUUACACCAUCUUCAACUACGCGAUCCUUGUGACAAGCAUGAGGUUCUGGCCUUACUUGUUCGGUUCCGUAGCUGGAAUGGUACCUGAAGCUUUCAUCUACAUUUACAGCGGUCGGUUGAUCAGAACAUUUGCGGAUGUGCAAUACGGACAUCAACGUUUGACAACAGUAGAGAUUGUGUACAAUGUAAUCUCGUUAGUCAUUGCGGUUGUGACUACUGUUGCUUUCACUGUGUACGCGAAAAGAGCUUUGAGAGAACUGCAAAACGCAGAAGCUAACGAAGAUGUAAGUAAAGAGGCGAGAUUUGAGAUGAAUAACGUUGUUGAACAUGAAGAUAGUCAUCGGCGUUUGGGUUCUUCUCAUGCAUUGCCUUGACUGAAAACUCUCACUAAUGAUAGAUUUUGUAAAGCUUAAUGUUGAUUUGGUAUCUCAGCAGGAGUAAGUAAGAAAUAAAUAACACAAAAAAUGUGGAAUAUCCGAAUAUGUCUGAUGUAGUAAACCAGGAAGACUAGUCAAACGUUGGAUUCUAAACAAUAGUGUUGCUGAUUCGUUGACAAAAAAAAAGUGUUGCUGA